UGAGGAAUAUUGGUCAAUGGACGGAAGUCUGAACCAGCCAAGUAGCGUGCAGGAUGACGGCCCUAUGGGUUGUAAACUGCUUUUGUAUGGGGAUAAAGUUAGGGACGUGUCCCUAUUUGCAGGUACCAUACGAAUAAGGACCGGCUAAUUCCGUGCCAGCAGCCCCGGUAAUACGGAUGGUCCAGGCGUUAUCCGGAUUUAUUGGGUUUAAAGGGAGCGUAGGCUGGUUAUUAAGUGUGUUGUGAAAUGUAGACGCUCAACGUCUGACUUGCAGCGCAUACAGGUUUCCUUGAGUUCGCACAACGUUGGCGGAUUUCGUCGUGUAGCGGUGAAAUGCUUAGAUAUGACGAAGAACUCCGAUUGCGAAGGCAGCUGACGGGAGCGCAACUGACGCUUAAGCUCGAAGGUGAGGGUAUCAAACAGG
rnacentral:rRNA from 1 species